GAACGAAUUAAGUACUUAACCCGAGGUACCACUGUACUGGGAAAACAUAGCUUUAACUAUACGGACCUUUGUUGGCAAGGUGAUGUCUCUGCUUUUAAUACACCUAAACUGGGGGGAGGUGGAGUAGGUGUUAACGGGAAGGUUUGACAGGAACUCAAUUCUUGACAUGCCGUUUUCUUGAUUUCUCCUUCCAGUAUUCAGAAGGAUCUUGUUUAUGUGUGGCGGAGCGCUCAGCUACACAGGAAGUAUGAAGUGUUCUACCCUGGAAACACAGGCUUGCUGCCUCAACGAACAGCAGGAUGGCUGCUCAGAAGUGACACCCGCUGCCCCCCAAGUAAUGGCACAGGGUAGCAGCCGCGAUCUCUGCAAUUUAGGAACCUAGAAACACAUUGCAAAAAAUCAGUCCAUACAAAUUUGAUAAAGCUUGCUUCACACACACACACACAGGCCAUUACUGUAGGCGCUUGCCCCAACUUUUGCUACCCAGCUCUUAUUCAAAGUGCAAAACAUAAAAGAUUCCACAGAAUUUGCCUGUUCUGCAUUUCAAAGCCUAUUGAACAUAAGCACUUUUUUGUUUUGUUAAAAAUACACAUAUCUUACCAUCCCAUUAUUGUAUUUAUAUUUUAAAGACUGUUAAAGGCCACUAUUUAAAUGAAGUGCUCAGCAUCUCAUGAUGGCUCCUGUCGUGCUAUUACCCAGCCCUAUGAGUGUUUUCUGCAGCGAUCAAUCACAAGCUAGAAGACCAAUUGGAAAAUUUACAAAGAAUGAAUAUGUUUUAACCUAUUAUUUGUGGCAACUUUUUGUGUGCAAGAAUAAAUGGAAUUUAUUUAUUUUGAAGGCUUAUAUCCUGCUUUUUAUUCCUGGGAGGCUCUCAAGUCAACUGACAAAAGAUUCCCACAAUAAAAAUUAGCAUGCUAUUCUAAGGUAAUUGCCUCACAGUAUUUGGCUUUAAUUGUGAGGGCACGGAUAGAAAAGCUAGUUGACAGGGCUGUGGGACCACAUGCUCUGGAUCCUGUUUUGAAGAGUAGCAGCUCAUGGAGGUAUGAAUGAAGGCAAGAAUAAAACUGGUUGUGGGUUGAACAUUUUAAAAGCAAUGGAUAUAAUUUUGGAUUUAUGUUAUCAGAUAUUAAUUGGAUAUAUUUUUUCUGUGGCUUUCCUGAUAAAAGGAGGACUUUUUUACUUGAUUUUUACCAAAGGCCAAGGUAGUUCCAGAUACUGAGUGUUUCCCAAGAAGAUGGAAAAGGCAGCUGGACCAGCAGAGGAGCAAUGAGAGAAAUUUUCUACACAGCUCCUAUUCCCCAGUUGCUGAUGGAAAAACAAGAGCUAUCCAGGAGCAGAGAAACUAACUUCUAGC